UACGUAGGGUGCAAGCGUUGUCCGGAAUUAUUGGGCGUAAAGAGCUCGUAGGCGGUUUGUUGCGUCGGCUGUGAAAACCUGAGGCUCAACCUCAGGCCUGCAGUCGAUACGAGCAGACUAGAGUGUUGCAGGGGAGACUGGAAUUCCUGGUGUAGCGGUGAAAUGCGCAGAUAUCAGGAGGAACACCGGUGGCGAAGGCGGGUCUCUGGGCAACAACUGACGCUGGAGGAG
rnacentral:rRNA from 1 species